rnacentral:rRNA from 1 species
CAAAGGUUAAUUCCGGUGGCGGAUGGGCAUGCGUCGCAUUAGUUAGUUGGCGGUGUAACGGACCACCAAGACGACGAUGCGUAGGGGUUCUGAGAGGAAGGUCCCCCACACUGGUACUGAGACACGGACCAGACUCCUACGGGAGGCAGCAGUGAGGAAUAUUGGUCAAUGGGCGGGAGCCUGAACCAGCCAAGUCGCGUGAGGGAUGACGGCCCUAUGGGUUGUAAACCUCUUUUGCCGGGGAGCAAAGUGCCGCACGUGUGCGGUUUGGAGAGUACCCGGAGAAAAAGCAUCGGCUAACUCCGUGCCAGCAGCCGCGGUAAUACGGAGGAUGCGAGCGUUAUCCGGAUUUAUUGGGUUUAAAGGGUGCGUAGGCGGACGCUUAAGUCAGCGGUAAAAUUGCGGGGCUCAACCUCGUCGAGCCGUUGAAACUGGGUGCCUUGAGUGGGCGAGAAGUACGCGGAAUGCGUGGUGUAGCGGUGAAAUGCAUAGAUAUCACGCAGAACUCCGAUUGCGAAGGCAGCGUACCGGCGCCCAGCUGACGCUGAAGCACGAAGGCGUGGGUAUCGAACAGGAUUAGAUACCCUGGUAGUCCACGCAGUAAACGAUGAAUGCUAGUUGUCCGGGGCGAUUGAGUUCUGG